rnacentral:rRNA from 1 species
AACGAACGCUGGCGGCAUGCCUAACACAUGCAAGUCGAACGAGACCUUCGGGUCUAGUGGCGCACGGGUGCGUAACGCGUGGGAACCUGCCUUUAGGUUCGGAAUAACAGUGAGAAAUUACUGCUAAUACCGGAUGAUGUCUUCGGACCAAAGAUUUAUCGCCUUUAGAUGGGCCCGCGUUGGAUUAGCUAGUUGGUGGGUAAAGGCCUACCAAGGCGACGAUCCAUAGCUGGUCUGAGAGGAUGAUCAGCCACACUGGGACUGAGACACGGCCCAGACUCCUACGGGAGGCAGCAGUGGGGAAUAUUGCACAAUGGCGCAAGCCUGAUGCAGCAACGCCGCGUGAGGGAUGA